UAGGGAAUAUUGGGCAAUGGAGGGAACUCUGACCCAGCCAUGCCGCGUGCAGGAUGAAGGCGUUAUGCGUUGUAAACUGCUUUUUAUAUAGGAAGAAAUAGUCCUUGCGAGGAAAGUUGACGGUACUAUAUGAAUAGGCACCGGCUAACUCCGUGCCAGCAGCCGCGGUAAUACGGAGGGUGCAAGCGUUGUCCGGAUUUAUUGGGUUUAAAGGGUGCGUAGGCGGUUUAUUAAGUCAGUGGUGAAAGACGGUCGCUCAACGAUUGCAGUGCCAUUGAUACUGGUAGACUUGAGUAUGAUUGAGGUAGCUGGAAUGGAUAGUGUAGCGGUGAAAUGCAUAGAUAUUAUCCAGAACACCAAUUGCGUAGGCAAGUUACUAAGUCAUAACUGACGCUGAGGCACGAAAGUGUGGGUAUCAAACAGGAUUAGAUACCCCAGUAGUCCCUGAGCGGGCUGGCAAGGCGCAU
rnacentral:rRNA from 1 species